GACGAACGCUGGCGGCGUGCUUAACACAUGCAAGUCGAACGGGCCUGUCUUCUUUUUUGGGGGGUGGGUUGAGCGGCGAACGGGUGAGUAUCACGUGAGUAACCUGCCCUUCGGUCCUGGAUAACCGCUUGAAAGGGCGGCUAAUACGGGGUGGUCCGGUUGGUCCGCAUGGGCUGGUCGGGAUAGAUUCACUGUUUUUGGUGUUUCGGCGGGGGAUGGGCUCGCGGCCUAUCAGCUUGUUGGUGGGGUGAUGGCCUACCAAGGCGGUGACGGGUAGCCGGCCUGAGAGGGUGGGCGGCCACACUGGGACUGAGAUACGGCCCAGACUCCUGCGGGAGGCAGCAGUGGGGGGUAUUGCACAAUGGGCGGAAGCCUGAUGCAGCGACGUCGCGUGAGGGAUGGAGGCCUUCGGGUUGUGAACCUCUGUUUCCGGUGGUGAAGGCCCUGUCCGUGUGGUGGGGUUGACGGUAGCCGGGGAUGAAGCGCCGGCUAACUACGUG
rnacentral:rRNA from 1 species